GUCCUUAUUUGGUCAUGUUCCUGUCCUCAUUUAGUCUGAUUGUCUUAUGUGGUCCACCUGUGUUUCUUCAAUUAUCCCUAGCAUUUAAGUUCCUGUCUCUGUGUUUUUCCCCUGUCGGGUCUACUUCGUAGUUACAUAUGUCUGCAUCUCAUUCCUGGUUCCUGUAUUGGAAUACUCCUGUGUUUUGAUAAUUAAAAGACUGUUGAUUGUACUCCACAUUUCUCUCUUCAUUCUGACUUUGUAUGUAUGUGCAGGGAAGAAGAUGGAGUGAUAUAUCUCAGGCUAACCUGACCAUCUGUGACACCAUGAAAUGCCAGAGCUAAAUUGUCUUCACUGGAGGGGAGUGUGACGUGUGUGUGUGUGGAGCAACUGCAAUCAAAUCCCUGGAUGUAUCUGACACAAACAGCUUCCAGAGGAAACAAAGAAGAUGGUGCAUAUCUGCUGAGGGAUGAAGAUUUUAUUGGCCAAGACAAUACUGAUUACUUUAUCAUUUUCCAAACAACUUGUAAAGCAUAUUGUCUAUAAACAAACAACGUAAUUAAUAAUUAACCUUCCCCGACCGAAUUCACCCAUUAAAGUGAACUGAGCCCUUGAGAAGAGGCAAAGCCAUUUUCCACGCUUGUUGAAAAUCAGCGUUAAAUCACUUCAGAAAUCAAUGGGCAUUCCAAUUGCUCACCCACAACGCACAUAAAUGGCGGCGAUAUAUAUUACGCAGAAAAACCCAUCACCGGGACUAAUGAACAUAAAUACUGGCCACGCGAAUAAUGAAGUGUGGCUGUAUAAAUCUCAGCCUCACAUGAAAGACUGCCAAGAGAAUAGACAAAUAUUGUCCAUGCUGAAAAGGCCAGAGGAACAGAUGUAUUCAGCUGCUGAGCGAUCGGUUGUUUGUGCGAACUGGUUUGUGAUUUACCAAGACUCUGAAGAGUCAUUGGUCUCUCAUGAACUCAUUGGCGAGGUACAUUUAAUUAAGGUGAAACUGUCAGGGAGGGACUACAUUUCUCACAGCCUUAAAUGCAAAAGCAAUGAGGUGAUCACCGUUUUUUGAUGGCCAGCGUGAAACAUUCAACUCCAGUAACUUCAUGAAGAUCAAUGGAGAAGGAAACCAGCUCCGGAAUCUGAAUGAUUAUCUAAAUACUCAUUUGUGAUAAUAUAUAUUUUUUUUCUCCAUACUAUGGAAGUCAAUGGGGACCAGCAUGUAUGGGGGUAGAAUUGUUGCAAUAUUCCAAAUAAAUAUAUUAUGAGGCGCAAAUAAAUGUAAAGAGAUUUACGAAAAAUUAAACAUAUUGACAAAUAAAUAGAAUGAGAUCCACAAAUUAGUUUCACAAACAUUCAUUCAGCGUCUUGACGCUAGAAAUGUUUCAAAAUCCACAAAUGCACAGCGAGA
ensembl:lncRNA